UGGGUCAACUUACAAAAGUCUAUAAUAAAUUCAGCCCAAAAACUAGAGCGACACUAAGGCAGCAAAUCAGAAGCUUCUUGGAUAUAGUAGAGAACAAUAAAACAUGGUAGUACUUGACGAUUCCUAUUAUGAGUAACAAACUUAGAUCUGAUAGCUAUUUUGUUUAGAGUGUUUAAGAUAGACCUUAAGGAUGGAAGUGG
rnacentral:lncRNA from 1 species